UGGGGAAUUUUGGACAAUGGGGGAAACCCUGAACCAGCCAUCCCGCGUGUGCGAUGAAGGCCUUCGGGUUGUAAAGCACUUUUGGCAGGAAAGAAACGUCAUGGGUUAAUACCCCGUGAAACUGACGGUACCUGCAGAAUAAGCACCGGCUAACUACGUGCCAGCAGCCGCGGUAAUACGUAGGGUGCAAGCGUUAAUCGGAAUUACUGGGCGUAAAGCGUGCGCAGGCGGUUCGGAAAGAAAGAUGUGAAAUCCCAGAGCUCAACUUUGGAACUGCAUUUUUAACUACCGGGCUAGAGUGUGUCAGAGGGAGGUGGAAUUCCGCGUGUAGCAGUGAAAUGCGUAGAUAGGCGGAGGAACACCGAUGGCGAAGGCAGCCUCCUGGGAUAACACUGACGCUCAUGCACGAAAGCGUGGGGAGCAAACAGG
rnacentral:rRNA from 1 species